rnacentral:rRNA from 1 species
GACGGAGGGCGCAAGCGUUGUUCGGAAUUACUGGGCGUAAAGCGCGCGCAGGCGGGCAGAUAAGUCUGGAGUGAAAUUCCGGGGCUCAACUCCGGAGCUGCUUUGGAUACUGUCUUUCUAGGGACCGGUAGAGGUCGGUGGAAUUCCCGGUGUAGCGGUGGAAUGCGUAGAGAUCGGGAAGAACACCCGUGGCGAAGGCGGCUCUCUGGGACGGUACUGACGCUGAGACGCGAAAGCGUGGGGAGCGAACAGG